GAUGAACGCUGGCGGCGUGCCUAAUACAUGCAAGUCGAGCGAACAGACGAGGAGCUUGCUCCUCUGACGUUAGCGGCGGACGGGUGAGUAACACGUGGAUAACCUACCUAUAAGACUGGGAUAACUUCGGGAAACCGGAGCUAAUAACGGAUAAUAUAUUGAACCGCAUGGUUCAAUAGUGAAAGACGGUUUUGCUGUCACUUAUAGAUGGAUCCGCGCCGCAUUAGCUAGUUGGUAAGGUAACGGCUUACCAAGGCAACGAUGCGUAGCCGACCUGAGAGGGUGAUCGGCCACACUGGAACUGAGACACGGUCCAGACUCCUACGGGAGGCAGCAGUAGGGAAUCUUCCGCAAUGAGCGAAAGCCUGACGGAGCAACGCCGCGUGAGUGAUGAAGGUCUUCGGAUCGUAAAACUCUGUUAUUAGGGAAGAACAAAUGUGUAAGUAACUAUGCACGUCUUGACGGUACCUAAUCAGAAAGCCACGGCUAACUACGUG
rnacentral:rRNA from 1 species